rnacentral:rRNA from 1 species
UAGCAUAUCAAUAAGCGGAGGAAAAGAAACCAACAGGGAUUGCCCCCAGUAACGGCGAGUGAAGCGGCAACAGCUCAAAUUUGAAAUCUGGCCCCUAGGGUCCGAGUUGUAAUUUGUAGAGGAUGCUUUUGGUGAGGUGCCGCCCGAGUUCCCUGGAACGGGACGCCACAGAGGGUGAGAGCCCCGUCUGGCUGGCCACCGAGCCUCUGUAAAGCUCCUUCGACGAGUCGAGUAGUUUGGGAAUGCUGCUCAAAAUGGGAGGUAUAUGUCUUCUAAAGCUAAAUAUUGGCCAGAGACCGAUAGCGCACAAGUAGAGUGAUCGAAAGAUGAAAAGCACCUUGAAAAGAGGGUUAAAUAGUACGUGAAAUUGUUGAAAGGGAAGCGCUUGUGACCAGACUUGGGCGCGGCGGAUCAUCCGGGGUUCUCUCCGGUGCACUUCGCCGCGUCUAGGCCAGCAUCAGUUCGUCGCGGGGGAAAAAGGCUUCGGGAACGUGGCUCCUCCGGGAGUGUUAUAGCCCGUUGCAUAAUACCCUGCGGUGGACUGAGGACCGCGCAUCUGCAAGGAUGCUGGCGUAAUGGUCACCAGCGACCCGUCUUGAAACACGGACCAAGGAGUCGUCUUCGUAUGCGAGUGUUCGGGUGUCAAACCCCUACGCGUAAUGAAAGUGAACGCAGGUGAGAGCUUCGGCGCAUCAUCGACCGAUCCUGAUGUUCUCGGAUGGAUUUGAGUAAGAGCAUACGGGGCCGGACCCGAAAGAAGGUGAACUAUGCCUGUAUAGGGUGAAGCCAGAGGAAACUCUGGUGGAGGCUCGCAGCGGUUCUGACGUGCAAAUCGAUCGUCAAAUAUGGGCAUGGGGGCGAAAGACUAAUCGAACCUUCUAGUAGCUGGUUUCCGCG